rnacentral:rRNA from 1 species
ACGGAAGGCAGCAGUGAGGAAUAUUGGUCAAUGGGCGGAAGCCUGAACCAGCCAAGUCGCGUGAAGGAUGAAGGUAUUAUGUAUUGUAAACUUCUUUAGCUGUGGAGCAAUAAUCGCCAUGCAUGGCGAGAUGAGAGUACACAGAGAAUAAGGAUCGGCUAACUCCGUGCCAGCAGCCGCGGUAAUACGGAGGAUCCGAGCGUUAUCCGGAUUUAUUGGGUUUAAAGGGUGCGCAGGCGGUCUUUUAAGUCAGUGGUCAAAUCGCGGAGCUCAACUCCGUCCCGCCAUUGAUACUGGGAGACUUGAUUGCGGUCGAGGUUGGCGGAAUUCGUCGUGUAGCGGUGAAAUGCAUAGAUAUGACGAAGAACACCGAUUGCGUAGGCAGCUGACCAGGCCGUAAAUGACGCUCAUGCACGAAAGUGCGGGGAUCGAACAGGAUUAGAUACCCUGGUA